rnacentral:misc_RNA from 1 species
GAUGAAGAACGUAGCGAAAUGCGAUAAGUAAUGUGAAUUGCAGAAUUCCGUGAAUCAUCGAAUCUUUGAACGCACAUUGCGCCCCUUGGUAUUCCGGGGGGCAUGCCUGUUCGAGCGUCAUUACAACCCUCAAGCUCUGCUUGGUCUUGGGCGUCACCGGUCCCCGGUGUGCCUUAAAAUCAGUGGCGGCGCCAUCUGGCUCUAAGCGUAGUACAUACUCUCGCUACAGACGUCCGGUGGAUGCUGGCCAGCAACCCCCAAUUUAUCAAGGUUGACCUCGGAUCAGGUAGGGAUACCCGCUGAACUUAAGCAUAUCAAUAAGCGGAGGA